GCGGAGGUAGUCAAGUGGUUACGACGCUGGUUUGGAGAGCCAGUGCCCACAAGGUACGAGGGUUCGAAUCCCUCCCUCCGCG
rnacentral:tRNA from 1 species